UCCCUCAGUAACGGCGAGUGAACGGGGAAGAGCCCAGCGCUAAAUCUUGCUGCUCUAACGGGUAGCGAGAGGUGUAGCGUAUAGUAGGCGAUUUUCCUUGAUGGCUGUCGACUUAAAUUCUCCUUGACUGGGGUUCCAGAGAAGGUGAAAGGCCUGUUCAGUCGAUGGACGUCUUGGAUUCCGCUCUACUUGGAGUCGGGUUGUUUGGGAACGCAGCCCAAAUUAGGUGGUAAACUUCAUCUAAGGCUAAAUACGACCACGAAACCGAUAGCAAACAAGUACCGUGAGGGAAAGUUGAAAAGUACUUUGAAGAGAGAGUUCAAGAGGACGUGAAACCGGUAGGAUGGAAACGGAUAGAGCCAACGAACAAGCCCGUAUUCAGCUAGUCGACUGCGUGCUGCAUGUCUAUGUACCCGAUCAGGGUGCAUGGGCGUGUGACGUAUGCGGUUGGCUAGUGCAUUUGCGGGUGAUGUGCGCUGAGGCGUGUGGUGGUGUCCUGCAAACCGUCGGGAGAGGACUUGCCUUCGGGCUUGAAACCUACAGGCGGGGAGUAGGGUUGCUGCUGCACGUAGAUGAAACGAUUAGGUGGAUUCGUGCUGCCGUGCUGUCGGGCUAGCUACUUGGUCGGUCGCAUGCGACUAGGCCUCGUUGGUUGGUCUUGGUGGUGCGGUAGUGACCUGGUCGACCCUCGGUGUAAAAGUUGGUCAUCUCUCCGACCCGUCUUGAAACACGGACCAAGGAGUCUAGCGUAUACGCGAGUCAUUGGGUGGAAAACCCAUAGGCGCAAUGAAAGUGAAGGUCUCUUUAUGAGGCUGAUAUGCGAUCCGUUGCACUUCGGUGCAGCGGAGCAGCAUAGCCCCGUCUCGACUGCUUGCAGUGGGGCGGAGGUAGAGCGUAUUCGCUGGUACCCGAAAGAUGGUGAACUAUGCCUGAGCAGGAUGAAGCCAGAGGAAACUCUGGUGGAGGUCCGAAGCGCUUCUGACGUGCAAAUCGAUCGUCUGACUUGGGUAUAGGGGCGAAAGACUAAUCGA
rnacentral:rRNA from 1 species